rnacentral:rRNA from 1 species
UACGGGGGGAGCAAGCGUUGUUCGGAUUUACUGGGCGUAAAGGGCGCGUAGGCGGUCGUGACAAGUCACUUGUGAAAUCCCGUGGCUUAACUGCGGGUCUGCAGUCGAUACGGGCAGGCUAGAGUUCGGUAGGGGAGACUGGAAUUCCUGGUGUAGCGGUGAAAUGCGCAGAUAUCAGGAGGAACACCGGUGGCGAAGGCGGGUCUCUGGGCCGAUACUGACGCUGAGGAGCGAAAGCGUGGGGAGCGAACAGG